UGAGGAAUAUUGGUCAAUGGGCGCAAGCCUGAACCAGCCAUCCCGCGUGCAGGAAGACGGCCCUAUGGGUUGUAAACUGCUUUUCCAGGGAGAGAAACUUGCGUACGCGUUUCGCAAUUGACGGUACCCUGGGAAUAAGCAUCGGCUAACUCCGUGCCAGCAGCCGCGGUAAUACGGAGGAUGCGAGCGUUAUCCGGAUUCAUUGGGUUUAAAGGGUGCGUAGGCGGACUAUUAAGUCAGUGGUGAAAUCCUGCAGCUUAACUGCAGAACUGCCAUUGAUACUGAUAGCCUUGAGUUUGGUUAAGGUAGGCGGAAUGUGUAAUGUAGCGGUGAAAUGCUUAGAUAUUACACAGAACACCGAUUGCGAAGGCAGCUUGCUGGGCCAUUACUGACGCUGAUGCACGAAAGCGUGGGGAUCGAACA
rnacentral:rRNA from 1 species